AGUGAACGCUGGCGGUAGGCCUAACACAUGCAAGUCGAACGGCAGCACAGUAAGAGCUUGCUCUUACGGGUGGCGAGUGGCGGACGGGUGAGGAAUACAUCGGAAUCUACUUUUUCGUGGGGGAUAACGUAGGGAAACUUACGCUAAUACCGCAUACGACCUACGGGUGAAAGCAGGGGAUCUUCGGACCUUGCGCGAUUGAAUGAGCCGAUGUCGAAUUAGCUAGUUGGCGGGGUAAAGGCCCACCAAGGCGACGAUCCGUAGCUGGCCUGAGAGGAUGAUCAGCCACACUGGAACUGAGACACGGUCCAGACUCCUACGGGAGGCAGCAGUGGGGAAUAUUGGACAAUGGGCGCAAGCCUGAUCCAGCCAUACCGCGUGGGUGAAGAAGGCCUUCGGGUUGUAAAGCCCUUUUGUUGGGAAAGAAAAGCAGCAGGUUAAUACCCCGCUGUUCUGACGGUACCCAAAGAAUAAGCACCGGCUAACUUCGUG
rnacentral:rRNA from 1 species